AUCAUGGAGAGUUUGAUCCUGGCUCAGAACGAACGCUGGCGGCGCGUCUUAAGCAUGCAAGUCGGACGGCAAGGAGGAGCAAUCCUCCCUAGAGUGGCGGACUGGUG
rnacentral:rRNA from 1 species